CCCACAGUGAGCGCCUGUCUGUACAGCUCAGAGCCAGUUAGCGCCAAGCCACAAUAAACCUAUUCAGACUUGGAUUUGCAGGAAGAGACACUGAGGGAUCCUAAAGUCCCCAAGAAAAGCCAUGAUCUCAGCCAACUAUGAAGCCUCAUGGAUACAAGAAAACUCAAAACACCUGGUUUGGGUUUCUGACCAUGCAACAUGCUGUCCAAACAGGAAGAAGCCCUUGCUGGCAGGCGUAUUUAGCCGGACAUCAGACCGUAUGCUGAAGACUCACUAUCAGCAGAUCUCUACUUAGCGUGCUGAGCCAGCCACUUUCCUGUUCACCAUUACAGGUUGUUAAACUCCAGAACAAUUUGCUGUGUGUGAUUUAUCUCCUGCCAAGAUAAGACUCUCUGCAUCCCAGAAGAAACUAGAGGCUGGGAUGGAGCAAGGCAAAGAGUUGGCCUGAACACAAGUUAAUUGCAAUAUUCCACAUGAAAACCCAAACUGAAGGACUUUCGGUUCCCUGUAAACUUGAGAAAUUAGAGCACAUGCUUAACAUACUCCGUGGAAUCAACUGGACUGGAAACUACAUCCAUCGGCCUGGAUUGCAUCCACGUGUGUACUAAUAGAAACUGGAGGCAUUAUGGACACAAAAGUGCUGUAGCUGCUGCCAUACUUCUUGGUCAUUCCAUAAAGAAAUUACAGACUUAAACUUGAUCAAACUUUAGAGAGCAGUAUGAUAGUAAAGCGAGAGAAUGUGGUAUAAUAGUGUUCUUGGGUUGGAACUUGGGAGAUCCAGGUCCACCACCCUAGUGAACCAUAAAAUUCAUUGGGUGACCACAAAUCAUUCACAGAAUCAGAGUUGGAAGAGACCUCAUGAACCAUCCAUUCCAACUCCCUGCCAAGAAGCAGGAAAAUCACAUUCAAAGCAUCCCCGACAGAUGGCCAUCCAGCCUCUGUUUAAAAGCCUCCAAAGAAGGAGCCUCCACCACAGUCCGGGACAUAAACAGCUCUUACAGUGAGGAAGUUCUUCCUGAUGUUCAGGUGGAAUCUCUUUUCCUGUAGUCUGAAGCCAAUGUUCCGCAUCUCCAGGGCAGCAGAAAACAAGUUUGCUCCCUCCUCCCUAUGACUUCCCCUUCACAUAUUUAUACAUGACCAUGAUGUUUCCUCUCAGCCUUCUCUACUGCAGGCUAAAAAUGCCCAGCUCUUUCAGCCACUCCUCACAGGGCUUGUUCUCCAGACCCUUGAUCAUUUUAGUCACUCUCCUCUGGACACAUUCCAGCUUGUCAACAUCUCAAUGCAUGACACUUUAUGUUCAUUGGAGGAAAGAUGUGGAAUAAAUAACUACUAACCAACAAAUCAUAGAGCUCUAAGAUGACAAACUAGCUUGAAUUACUUCAAAAUGAAAGUAUAUAUAGUGAAACAAGUAAUAAUAAUACUUUAUUGCAAGUAGAAAUAAGCACAGCAGACUGAUCCAGAACCUUUCUCCCUGAAGUUGUAUGUAUGGUUGUAAAUGUUGGACAGUGAAGACAGCUGGCAGGAGAAAAUCAACUCAUUUAAAAUGUGAUAGAGAAAAAAAAAAUCUGUAGCUGUGGAUUGCUAAAAUGAGAAAUGAAUGUGUCUAUCAUCAUCAUCAUCAUCAUCAUCAUCAUCAUUGUCAUCAUCAUCAAAUCAAGCUUGGACUCUAAGUAGAAGCAAUGAUGACAAGAAUGAGGCUGUUCUUUUUUGGACAUGUCAUGAAAUGAUUUGAUUUAUUGGAAAAGAAAAAAAACCUGCUUGCUAUAUUGGAAGGCAGUAGGAAAAGAGGGAGAGAACAGAUGCACAGAUUCAAGCAAAGCCUGAGCAGGGCAAUUGAUGACCAGAAUUGUAGACAUCUCUCAUUCAUAAAGCUGAUAUAAGCUGAGUUUGAUUCAAUGCAAAUGUUAGCAAUGAAGUAUAUUGUUAUUUGUCACUCAAAUAGGGAAGCCACCUACAAACCAUUAUAUCAAGCCAAGAUAUGAACAUGGUUGUAAUGACUGGAGUGAUAAGAGAACUUAAUGCAAAAUUUCAUUUUUACUUAUUUGACCACAAUUUCUUAGUCCACACAUCAUAGGAGGCUGAGGUUUAACAAUAUAUGUAUUUAUUGGAGUCACCCAUGUGGAGGUAGAGUGGGGAAAAGACAGAAAAAGCUGGCACAAUGCUUGUUCUUAAACCAAAAUAACAUUGCUUUUCAAAUGGAGGCAAUUAUAUAUGAAUCAAAUUGCUGUGUUCAUAUGUGUGGGAGCUGGCCACACUCUCCAUUAAAAUAUUUUACCCAGACAUUAAAAGACUUAAAAACUAUAGCAGUUAAAAUUAUGAGCUGCAAAACUUGUGUUCAUGUACUGUGUCACAUUACCACAUUCAGAAAGAACUGUAUUCUGAAAUUUAUAAGAACUGGAUUCCACUGUUUAAACUAUAUGAGGCAUAACCUAGUGGGCAGAAUAGGAAUUUAUUUAAUUUGCUAUAGUAUCUCUUGAUAAUGUGAUAUUGAAAUAUUAUCCUGCUAUACAUUUAUUGAGUGGCCAUACAAUAUAUGCUAAUUUAAAAUCAAUUAUUGAAAAAUGGAGAAACUCGGUCCUGUUUGAUUUCUAUUUUGCACAGAUCUAUGCCUGAUAAAGAUAUUCCAAGUGGUUUUCAAGCCUGUGAACUAUUUCUGUAUAAUGCUCAAAUAUUACCUCUCUCUGCUCGAUGCCACUGAUUGAAUAAAGCUAAUUUCAUAGAAAACAAA